UUAUAUACCAUGACCACAUGGAAUUUAUUCCUGAAAUGCAAGAUUAGUAUAAUAUCCAGAAAUCAAUGUAACUCUCCAUUUUAAUAGAUUUAAUGACAAAACCCACAAUAUUUCAAUAGUCACGGAAAAAGCAUUUGAUAAAAUACAACACUCUUUCAUAAUGAAAACAUUCAACAAACCAGGAGUAGAAGAGAACUUCCUCACCUUGAUAAAAGGCAUCUACAAAACCCCCACAGCUAACAUCAUACUUGACGGUGAAAAACUGCUUUGCCCCUAAGAUCAGGAACAAGACAAGAAUUUCUACUCUUACCACUUCUAUUCAGCCUUGUUCUGGAGGUUGUAGCCAGAGCCAUUAGGCAGGAAAAUUAAAUACAAGGCAUCCGGAUCGGAAAGGAAGAAGUAAAACUAUGUCUAUUUGUAGAUGACAUAAUCUUGUGUAAAGAAAAGCCGAAGGGGGCUGGCCCAGUGGCGUAGUGGUUCAGUUCACGUGCUCCGCUUCGGUCACCUGGGGUUCGCAGGUUCAGAUCUGGGCGUACACUGUGGCAGCGUCCCACACAAAAUAGAGGAAGACUGCCAAAGAUGUUAGCUCAGCAGCAAUCUUGCUCAAGCAAAAAGAGGAAGAUUGGCAACUGCCCAGUGUCCCCUCACCUGGGAAGGGCUGCAUUGGCCCUGUUAGCUCAGGGACAAUCUUCCUCACAAACGAAAAAAGAGAAAAUCCUAAGGAAUCUACUAAAAAGACAAUUAGGACUAUUAAAUAAGUUCAGCAAGGUGAUAAGACACAAGGUCAAUAUGUAAGAAUCAAUUUUAUUUCUGUGCGUGAGCAAUAGACGGUUCUAAUAUGAAAUCAAGAAAACAAUUACACUUAUAGUGGUAUCAAAAAGAAUAAGAUGCCUAGGAAUAAAUUUAACAAAAGUGCAAGAUUUACAUACUGAAAGCCACAUUCUAGUGGGAACAGUUGAGAAAACAAAGGGACAUCAGCUUGGCUGGGCCAUGUUGUCAGGGAGCAGCAGGCAGACCCAGGAAGACGUCCCCACUGUAGCCUCAGCAACCGGUGCAGGUUUGCAGAGCUCCGUGCCCAUCCGCUUGCCUCUGCCCGGCUUCAGUGCCCUUUUGCCCCAUUUAGGAAGGGGAUUCUGGUGGUCUUGGCCAUCACAGCCUUGCAAGUAAUGUCUGUAUUUCAAGUUGUGCAGGUGAUGGGAACUUAGUGGUACAAAGUCCAAAAUGGCCUCUCAUUUUGAGAAAAGGAGGUGUCACUUUCCAGAGGCCUUGCCUCGUUCGGCCUUGGGCACAGGCUGCACCUUGGAAGUUCCCUGCUGCCUCCUGCUUCUGGGAAAAAUGCAAGUUGUUUUUUUUUAAAUCAACCUUUUAUUAUAGGAUGGUUUUAGAUUUGCAGAAUUAUUACAAAGAUAGACAAAGUGGUCCUGUGAACCUGUUCCCAUUUUUCCCUAUUAUUAACAUCUGCGUUGGUAUGGUACAUUUGCCGCAAUCAAUGAACCAAUAUUGAUAUAUUAUCGUUAACUGAAGUCCAUCCUUUAUUCAGAUAGCCUCCAUUUUUCCCUAACGUCCUUUUUCUGUUCCGGGAUCCUGUCUGGGAUACCAUAGUACCUUUAGUUGUCAUGUCUCUUAGGCUCCUCUUGCCGGUGACAGCUUAAAAUACAAGUUUUAGCUUUGACAAGGGCAUGUAGAAAGAGCGAGCUCUGGAGUCAGACAGACCUUGACUCAAAUCCCAGUUCUGCCCUUAUUAGCUGGGGACCUAGAGUAAUUUAUUUAAGCCCUUUGAGCCUUAAUUUCCUCAUCUGUAAAAUGGAGGCAAUAAUCUCUAGCUUGCAGGGCUGUACCUUGCAGGAGAAUACAUGAGGCACAGCCUGCACCGUGCCGAGCACACAGCUGUGCUCCACGGCAACAGUUCCAGUGAUGUGUCCACUUGCCUCCUCCUAAGCCACUGCCCUCUUCCUCUCCCAUCGUAUGCUGUGUCCAGUAGGUGCACUCACCCCUGGCGUGUGCUGCACAGACCCAGCAGAAGGGCUGGAAUGAAAGGCAACACCUAUUUAACACCAGCUGCCCCAGGACUGCUGGGUUUUCCCCGUCUUUUCCAGUCGAACUUAGGUCCGGGCAUGCGGGCCAGCGCCUCUCGUCAUGGUUACCUACUUGUCAGGAAUGCACAAGGCUGUCUGUUCCUGGGAUUGAGUCAGCACCUGGGAGCUCUGACAUACUCCUGCCCAAACCUGACCUUGACCAGCCUUGCCUUCCCAAAGGCCUGGUGGUGAGGGGACAAGCCUGUGGCUUGCUCCUUUGGGGCUGUGUUGGCAGGGCCACCUGGACACAUGAGUGAACUUUGUCCCAUCUGUCUGUCUGCCUGCCACUCUCUGAGGACACUGGGUGUUUGCUUCUAGUAGAAAGUCUCCUGGAGGGAGAGCGAGUCCAUGUGCAGGGAGCAUGUGUGCAUUUCUGGGGCCACAGCCCUGCACCUAUGUGGACACAGGAACAGGGCUCGAACCACCUCCUGGGCCAGAAGUACCUCUUCUGUUCGAAGCUGGAGGUAAAUCAUAGAGCAUGGCACUCAAUGUCUCUUUACCAAGAGAAUGGUGUGUGUUUGGGGUUUUGUGUGACCCUCAUAUCAGCCGUUGAGAGCUGACUCGUGAAGGAAGAAGCUUCUGAAAGAAGGGAGACCAGGUACAGGGAAACUGUGCUCCCAUUUAGGAUCACAGUGUUCCAGGGAGGCCCUUCCUGGGCCUGAGACACUGCAUGGAGCUCUGAGGGGCCAUGGAGCACCCCAGGCCCGCCCUGGUGCAGGAGCCACUGCAGGGAGCUGCAGGCCCCGCAGGACUCAGGGAGCUCAUCCUUGGGGACUCCCCUGCCCCGGGAUCCCCCUUAUCCUCCCUUACAAUGCUCCCUCACUUCCUGUCCCCCACCCUUUGCCACUCAGGGAGGCUUCAAUCCAUCGAAGCCCAAGUUUGCAAAACUCUCCUUUUAUUAAAGCUUCUGUCUGGAAUGCACUUUCCUCAUGUGCACACCUGGCUCACUCCCUCUCUUCCUUGGAAUCGUUCUCUCAAAUGUCACCUUCUCAAUAACCACCCUUUAAAAUCACAACUCUCCCCCGGCCCGGCCACCUUACUUUAAACGCCUCACCUCCUGCCCUCCUCUGUUUCCUCCCCAGCUUUCAUCACCUUCUCACACGGUGGGGACCUGCACCACGAGAGGACACGAGCGCGGAAAUUGAGACUAAGCAGUUAGAAACUUCUGAACUAUAGCGUCUACAGAUACUACAGAAUCUAUAGCAAUUUGAUGUUGCUCAGAAACCCAAAGGCAGAUCGGAAAUAAAGAAGCUGAUUUUUCACCCCAGAGGGUUUAAGAAUCAUGGUUCUAGCACACUCUGUAAAAUGUAUUCCAUUUCCUGUUUGUCUUCUCCCCACCCGCUGCUGCUUGACUGCCAGCUCCACAGGGCAGGGAUCUUCUCCGCUUUACUCCCCACGAUCUCCCCAGCUCCUAGAAGAGUGGCUGGCACGUGGUGGGUGCUGGAUGGAUAUUUGUUGAAUGAGCGAAUGUGGAAGAGGUGAUCCGAGAGGGUGAAGCAUCAUCAGCUGGCCACGGGCUAGGAGGGCAGCAAAUGCUCUCUGUUCCCCAUCCCUGCCUGACUUGAACACAGUGCUCUGGAUCCAAACCCCUGUGAGUUGUUCUUGGGGUUCAAGUACCAUAGGACAUGGUUGGGAACUGUUGCCCUAAUAAAAAGUGUCCCACUCUGCCCUUGGCCCUGCCCCUGGCCCAUUCCCAGAGGGAGCCCAGGGCUGGCAGGGCCAGGCAGAGUGGCUCUCCUGGAGGUGGAGACAGUUUGAUUCCACCUGCUGUUCCCACGGCUGUGCUGGCUGGGGUUGGCUGGGGCCCACGUGGCAGCAGCACCUAGGCCUGCCUCACGGGCCAGCCAUCCGGCAGGGCCGGUUCUGGGCUCGCACACCCAUGGCCACGCCUGCUUUGUCACUCCUCUCCUCUUUGGCCCAAGCCCUGGGGCUCAGCUUCUCUUUCUCUGACUCUACAGAAUCUCUUUUGUCCUCCCCUACUCCAGUGAAGGGUGGGGGUCUGGCCAAGAAGGAGGGGUUUGGGCCCUCCGGUCAAAACAUCCUUAGGGGCUACUGUCCAGGCAGCGCUCAGGGCCAUUGGUGACCCCAGCACGAGGACAGGAGUAACCUUUGUACAAUUGAAAGUUCAGCUCUAUCUUCUUAUCUGCUUCCUCUCAACCAAGCGGAACCACAGACUGGCAUCCAUUAACAAAGGUUCCCUCAGUUUGUGAGUCUCACCUCUCCACCUGGUCCUGGGGACAUAAAAGAAGCUGGAGGAGGGAGGUUGCCAAGAGGAAGUGAUGCUCAAGCUAGUUUUUGAUGGAUGAGUCUGGAGUUAGCAAUCCAAGAGAGGAGAAAAGAGAUGAGAAAGGCACUCCAGAGAAAAGGGAAUGGCAUAUGCAAAGGCCCGAAGGUCAAGAGAGACCACAGGUCACUCAGAAACAUCCAUCUGGUGUGUAUAUGGCUAGGUGUGCACAGGAAGG
rnacentral:lncRNA from 1 species